CCAAAAUUUUUCUAUAAUGAGCUGUGAUAAUUUAUGAAAUGUAUUUGUGCAGCAUUUAAAUUGUGUUAUUGAUGGGUAAAACUGUAUUAUUCAGUUAUUUGAUCAAAUUGUGAUAUUGAUCGGCAACACUGUGUUAUUCAGUAAUUUGAUCAAAUUGUGUAUGAAUUGGCAAUACGGUAUUCUUAAACUAUUUGACUAAAUUGUGUUAUUAUGAAUUUUGAUAAUUUGUGAAUGGGAGUUUAAAUUCCUUAUGACAUUCAUUGUCUUGAAUUUAACUAUGGUUUUACGUAUCCACUAUUUAUAUGGUUUAUGAGUUGUGAUUUAAAGUUGUAUUUGGU
rnacentral:misc_RNA from 1 species